UGAAAUCUUGCUAAGAAUAGGAGGAUUCAGAAGUUCUGCUACUAAGGCCCAGAUCCACAAAGGUGUUGAGGAUCCUAAGCAGUGGUGAGCUGGAGCAGGUUCCCAAGAACCGGUUGCUAAAAUUAGACCUCCAUGGAUAACCGGUUGUUAAAGGGCCAGGAGGUGGGCAAAGAACUCCGGUCCAUGGGCCAGACCCUCCUGUUGCUGCCAGGAUUCCCAGCUGGGGAGGCUGAGGCUCCCCCGGCCCUUUCCCCGCUUCCUCCUAGCUGCAGCCUGGCCAGCCACCGGCACCAGCUGGGCAGCUCAGCUGAGCUCCGGAGUUGCUUUGAGCUGCCAGCAAGUUUAUUGUUGUUUUCUUCUCCUUGGGACAAUUUUGAGAUUCUUGCAGUGGACACUGCAUGACUUGUUUCUGGUUAUGAUGACUCAAUGUGGCAGCAAGAUCCAUCAUGCUAAUUGGAUUGGGAUUCUACCCCUCUGGCACCGUUACCUGUUAGAGCCAAUUACGUACUGUAUAUUUCCUCCUCCUGCCCUCCAGUUACAGCUGUUCUUCCUUUUGGCCCUGUGUAAUUGCUAGUAGAUCACUUGUUUUCUUUCCACUUAGCAUUUUUUAUUUUUUUAAAAGAAUUCAAAGCCUUUUACUGCACAGCUAGAAAGUGAGAAAUAACAUGCAGUCACAAACAGGGGUUAGAACGAAAAAAAUAUAUUCCUUGUAAAGCCUGAUUAUGAUCUUAUCUCCACCUGCUGUGCAGUAAGGUAACACACUCUGCUGUGGCC